UACAGAGGCCCCAAGCGUUACUGAGAAUCACUGGGUUUAAAGGGUGCGUAGGUGGCGCGUUAAGUCCGUUGUGAAAUCCCUGGGCUCAACCCAGGAAUUGCUUCGGAUACUGGCGUGCUUGAGGCUAGUAGGGGUCACUGGAACUGACGGUGGAGCGGUGAAAUGCGUAGAGAUCGGGAAGAACAUCGGUGGCGAAGGCGCUCUACUGGACCACAACUGACACUCAGGGACGAAAGCUAGGGGAGCGAAUGGG
rnacentral:rRNA from 1 species